CACGUAGGGACCAAGCGUUGUCCGGAUUUAUUGGGCGUAAAGAGCUCGUAGGCGGUUCAGUCAGUCGGGUGUGAAAACUUCGGGCUUAACUCGAAGCAUGCAUCCGAUACUGCUGUGACUUGAGUCCGGUAGGGGAGUGGGGAAUUCCUGGUGUAGCGGUGAAAUGCGCAGAUAUCAGGAGGAACACCGGUGGCGAAGGCGCCACUCUGGGCCGGUACUGACGCUGAGGAGCGAAAGCGUGGGUA
rnacentral:rRNA from 1 species